rnacentral:rRNA from 1 species
GGUAACUCGGGUCCACGAUACGUGGUGAUAGGGGUGGUGCAAGCAUGAAUCGGAAUUGCUGGGGCUAAAGCGUGCGCAGGCUGCUUAGUAAGUCGGAUUUGAAAUCCCUAGGCUCAACCUAGGAACUGCAUUUGAAACUAAUGAACUAGAGUAUCGUAGAGGGAGGUAGAAUUCCAGGUGUAGCGGUGAAAUGCGUAGAUAUCUGGAGGAAUACCAGUGGCGAAGGCGACCUCCUGGACGAAAACUGACGCUCAAGCACGAAAGCAUGGGGAGCAAACAGGAUUAGAUACCCGGGUAGUC